CUAACAAGGAUUCCCUCAGUAACGGCGAGUGAAGUGGGAAAAGCUCAAAUUUUAAAUCACCCGGGUUACCUUGGUGAAUUGUAAUUUGAAGAAAGUGUUUUGACGUUCGGGUUCGAUUUAAAUCCUUUGGGAUAAGGUAUCAUAGAGGGUUAGAAUCCCGUUUAUGAUUGAUCCUUUGAAUGUCUAUAAUUCACUUUCCAAGAGUCGAGUUGUUUGGGAUUGCAGCUCAAAAUGGGUGGUAAAUUUCACCUAAGGCUAAAUAUAUGCAAGAGACCGAUAGCGAACAAGUACCGUGAGGGAAAGAUGAAAAGAACUUUGAAAAGAGAGUUAAAUAGUACGUGAAAUUGUUGAAAGGGAAACGAUUAAAGUCAGUCAUGUUGGUAGGGAAUCAACUUGAUGGUAUGCGGGUUUACUCGCGUUCUUUUGGGUGCACUUCCUUACUUGCAAGUUAGCAUCAAUUUUGGUUAUCAUAUAAAAAUCGAGGGAAGGUGGCCUUUCUUCGGAAAAGUGUUAUAGACCUCGAGAAAUGUGAUGACCGGGAUUGAGGAUUGCAGCGGAUGCCCUUUUGGGCUAGUCACCUGGCUUCUGAUGGUUACCCUGUCUUCGACAGCUUGCUGACGUUGAUGGGACUUGAUCGUCUAGAUGUAGGAGUGAUCGUAAAUUCGCUAAGGAUGC
rnacentral:rRNA from 1 species